UACGGGGGGGGCAAGCGUUGUUCGGAAUUACUGGGCGUAAAGGGCUCGUAGGCGGCCAACUAAGUCAGACGUGAAAUCCCUCGGCUUAACCGGGGAACUGCGUCUGAUACUGGAUGGCUUGAGUUUGGGAGAGGGAUGCGGAAUUCCAGGUGUAGCGGUGAAAUGCGUAGAUAUCUGGAGGAACACCGGUGGCGAAGGCGGCAUCCUGGACCAUUCUUGACGCUGAGGCGCGAAAGCUAGGGGAGCAAACGGG
rnacentral:rRNA from 1 species